UACGUAGGGUGCAAGCGUUAAUCGGAAUUACUGGGCGUAAAGCGCGCGCAGGCGGCUUGGCAAGACAGAUGUGAAAUCCCCGGGCUUAACCUGGGAACUGCAUUUGUGACUGCAUGGCUGGAGUGCGGCAGAGGGGGAUGGAAUUCCGCGUGUAGCAGUGAAAUGCGUAGAUAUGCGGAGGAACACCGAUGGCGAAGGCAAUCCCCUGGGCCUGCACUGACGCUCAUGCACGAAAGCGUGGGGAGCAAACAGG
rnacentral:rRNA from 1 species